rnacentral:rRNA from 1 species
GAAUAUUGGACAAUGGGCGAAAGCCUGAUCCAGCCAUGCCGCGUGUGUGAAGAAGGUCUUCGGAUUGUAAAGCACUUUAAGUUGGGAGGAAGGGCUGUUACCUAAUACGUGACAGUUUUGACGUUACCAACAGAAUAAGCACCGGCUAACUUCGUGCCAGCAGCCGCGGUAAUACGAAGGGUGCAAGCGUUAAUCGGAAUUACUGGGCGUAAAGCGCGCGUAGGUGGUUCGUUAAGUUGGAUGUGAAAUCCCCGGGCUCAACCUGGGAACUGCAUCCAAAACUGGCGAGCUAGAGUAGGGCAGAGGGUGGUGGAAUUUCCUGUGUAGCGGUGAAAUGCGUAGAUAUAGGAAGGAACACCAGUGGCGAAGGCGACCACCUGGGCUCAUACUGACACUGAGGUGCGAAAGCGUGGGGAGCAAACAG